rnacentral:rRNA from 1 species
UACAGAGUUCUCAAGCGUUGUUCGGAUUCAUUGGGCGUAAAGGGUGCGUAGGUGGCGCUGUAAGUCGGGUGUGAAAUUUCGGAGCUUAACUCCGAAACUGCAUUCGAUACUGCGGUGCUUGAGGACUGGAGAGGAGACUGGAAUUCAUGGUGUAGCAGUGAAAUGCGUAGAGAUCAUGAGGAAGACCAGUGGCGAAGGCGGGUCUCUGGACAGUUCCUGACACUGAGGCACGAAGGCCAGGGGAGCAAACGGG